rnacentral:rRNA from 1 species
AGACGACGCUGGCGGCGUGCCUAACACAUGCAAGUCGAACGGAGAUAGGUUGAAAGCUUGCUGGAUACUUAUCUUAGUGGCGGACGGGCGAGUAACGCGUGAGCAACCUGCCCCAGACUGGGGGAUAACGUCGGGAAACCGGCGCUAAUACCGCAUAACACUGCGAAGCCGCAUGGUUUUGCAGUCAAAGCUCCGGCGGUUUGGGAUGGGCUCGCGUCCAAUUAGCUAGUUGGUGAGGUAACGGCCCACCAAGGCGACGAUUGGUAGCCGAACUGAGAGGUUGAUCGGCCGCAUUGGGACUGAGACACGGCCCAGACUCCUACGGGAGGCAGCAGUGGGGAAUAUUGCGCAAUGGGGGAAACCCUGACGCAGCAACGCCGCGUGAAGGAAGAAGGCCUUCGGGUUGUAAACUUCUUUGAUCGGGGACGAAGAUGACGGUACCCGAGGAACAAGCCACGGCUAACUACGUG